rnacentral:lncRNA from 1 species
AUAAUUAAAGGUUCAACAAUAUCAUUCAAGAUAAAUUAAAAUACUAAAAUAUUGUUAUACUCAAAAUGUAACGGUAUUCUUUUACAAGAGAGAAUAAUUUCAUACAUAACUCUUUUACAGUACGAAUAAUAAAAUUUUUUAAAAAAACAAGCUAACGUGAGAAUGGAUAGUGAUGGUAACCAUCAGCAGACAGUGAAGAGAAGUGAAAACUCAAAAGUGCUCUAAUGCUUUUAUAAAACCAAGUUCCGAUGGCGAGUUGAGAGACAUUAGUUGAUUGUAUUUGUACCAAAUGUAUGAAAGAAAUUGUUGUUCUUGUGGAUAUCAAGAAGAAGGGCGCAGUAAAUAAGAUUGUCAUGUUACCCUCCUAAUCUUGCAGGAUUGCCACCUUCUGCUUCUACAAUUAUAUAUGAACGAGUCAUAGACUCUAACCUGUAUAUACAAAAAUGACACCCAUACCAUAAUUUUAGUACAUUAACUAGUUGGGACUUGUCAAUCACGUUUAACCUGAACAACAGUUCCUUUGGCAGGGUAAGAUUCUGCCAGAAACAACAACAUGCUUCUUUAAAACCUUAAGAUUAUUAAUGCAAUGUAUGUACCAAAAAACCGCAAACCAUUCAAAACAUAAGCCUUAUUUAGCAUCUCUUAGUUUGAAACAUAACACUAUAAGAAAAUACUACUAACCUCAUAAGCUGCAUUCUUCUUAGUAUCUGAUAACGAGGUGUUUCCAAGUCUGAAGUUUUGUAAAUCCUUAAUUUUGUAACUGCCAAAAAAUUAUAUUCUCAUAUUUCUUGACUAAAGAAAAGAUCACAAGCUAAACCAGUUCAACAUCACACCCGUUCCAUAACAAAAACAGUCCUAGAGUAAAAUAUUAUUAUUCUCAAUAAAAUUUUAGAAGUCCUACAGAUUUUAAUAAGAAGUUUGUAAACACUCCAUCCUUCACUAAGUAGUAUAUCCAAUUGAAUUUGUUUUGAGAAAGAGUAAAGUAUCAUACAUACCUUAUGGUUACUACACUUGUUUGUUUCUACAUUGAUACCCAUAACACAAGUGCCUGAAAAAAUAAAUUCAGGUUUACUUAAACAGAAUGAACUCAUCACCAUACCGCAACAUAAAUUUGGAACAUAUGCUUAUAUAUGAUUGUGCUAAUGCAUAUCAUAAUUUUACCCUUAUAAGUUGUUGGAAUAUUUAUACUGUAAAUUUGAAAAAAAAUCCACCAUCUCAGUAAAUGCAUUGGAUAGCGUCUAGAAGUGUUUAGGAGUUAUAACUUUAUCCUAAUUGUUGCAUAGAAGUUUUAGAAAUAAAGGAAUGGUAAUAUCUUAACAACAAACUCUUCUUCACCUAUUUGCAUGCUUCCUUCAUUGCUAGCAGCCACAAGAAGAACAAAAAAUAUAUAGAAAGCAAAGAUGCAUUCCCAUGACUAUUUAUUUAGUAAGUUGAACAUCAAAUGAAUGCAAAUACUCACCCUAUAUCCACUAAACUGAUCAUCAAAUUUGGGGGAAAAUUGUGCCUCCCCAACUCAUUUGCUCCCUGCAAAUAUUCACACAGAUAUUAACAACCACAACUGUGAACAGUACUUAAUCCAAUAGAGAAAAUUUGUUAGUAUAGUUUUUUUGUGUGCAUAUAACUAUAAAUUGGGAACCACUAGGUGUGGCAAACGGGCCGGCCGGAUUGGAUAUGGUUCGGGUUAAAAAUGGGUAAUGAAAAAAACGGAUUAAUUAUUCGACCCGACCCAUAUUUAAUACGGAUAAAAAAUGGGUUAACCGCGUAUAAUAUGGGUUACUCAUAUUAUCUAUGACUUAUUGUAUAUGAUCACUUUUGGGAGAAUUCUUAGUCUCUCUAACUUGAGGAACCCCAAUUUGAGGCUUUACAAAUGUAAAAGUUAGAUCCAUUGAUUAUCCAUUGGUUACUCAUUGGUUAUCCAUUUUGCCACCAUAAGCACCACCCAAAAAGCCAUUUAAGAUUCCCAAUCUGCAAAUGGAGGCAAUGAAGAAUAAACAAUAUACAAGAAAUUAUAGGGAAAAAAGCUUGUUCAGGCUUAGUACUAGAGAAAUCAAGAUUGAACUACUAAUUCUCGUUUCAUACAACAAAGUAAUUUAAAUAGAUUACAAAAGACAAAUAUAGGAAUUUAAAUAUAUGAAAAAACCCCUCCAUUUAUAAUAAUUGGAGAGAUUCCUAAUUCAUUGCUUUGAAUUUGGCAAUCUUUUAAAUUCUUGGCACUUAUCAAUAUAAAUAAAGAAGGGAUUUCCAUUUCACAGCCACACUAUAAUGAUGAAACUGAAAAGAACUAAUUUCGAUCAAGAAUCCUAGGAAAGAAAUGGGAACAAUCGAAAUUAAGAAAAUUAAAAAAACAAAGACUAUGGUGAUCAUACCUUGGCGAUUAUGUUUUUCAAGAGCAGGAGGGACAAGGGUUCAAGGGAUGGUUGGUUAGAGUGGGCAAGGAUUGGGGGAGAUGGAGCGUAUAGUUUUGGGGGAAAAGGGUUUGGAGUCUGAAUUUUGUAGGUUUAAGGAAUUGAGAGAGGCGUAAUAUUUUUCUUCUUUUUUUCGUUUAUCCUUUUUAUUUGUAACUUUACCUUUUAACUUUCUAUAUAUUUGCACCCACAAAGGAGUAUCCAAAUAAGGUAUAAGGCCAUACUAAAUUUUUAUUUCAGAAUUUUAUAGUUACAAUAUUUUAUUUCAAAUAGUUUAUCUGGGGCAAAAUGGUAACUUUUGCUAAAGUAAGCUUCAACUUGCGGCAAAAACAUAUGUUUAGCUAUGAUAUUUUAUCAUAGCAAUAAAUAUGUGACUAUGUCAUUUCGCCAUGAUAAUUAAUUGGAGUUGUUAAGCCAAUUAUUGCCACGGUCUUUUAUCAAUUGAAGAAAAAAAUAUUUAUUUA